GCUGGCGGCGUGCUUAAUACAUGCAAGUCGAACGAGAAAGCCCGAUUUCGGUUGGGCGAGUAAAGUGGCGAACGGGUGAGUAACACGUGGAAAAUCUGCCCUUGAAUCUGGGAUAAUCCUUCGAAAGGGGGUCUAAUACCGGAUAAUACCUCGAAAUGGCAUCUUUUCGAGGUCAAAGGCGGGGCAACCUGCCGUUUGGGGAUGAUUCCGCGCUCCAUUAGCCUGUUGGUGAGGUAACGGCUCACCAAAGCUACGAUGGAUAGCCGACCUGAGAGGGUGACCGGCCACACUGGGACUGAGAUACGGCCCAGACUCCUACGGGAGGCAGCAGUAGGGAAUAUUGCGCAAUGGACGAAAGUCUGACGCAGCAACGCCGCGUGGGUGAUGAAGCAUCUUGGUGUGUAAAACCCUGUCAGUGGGGAAGAAACGCAUGGGUAGUAACUGAUCUAUGCCUGACGGUACCCACAGAGGAAGUCCCGGCUAACUCCGUGCCAGCAGCCGCGGUAAUACGGGGGGGACGAGCGUUGUUCGGAUUUACUGGGCGUAAAGGGCGCGUA
rnacentral:rRNA from 1 species